rnacentral:lncRNA from 1 species
AUGUUUUUAACUGCACAGGAUAUCUGGAUGAGCGAAGAGCAGAAGAGCAGAGGAUGAGUCUGAAAAAGCAACAUCCACCCCCAGCGGAUGGGGAUUCAGACUGGCAAUCCAGCACCAUGUCCUACUGGAAAUGAUACAAUGCGGAAUGGAGCAAUCUGAUAGUAUUGCCAGGAUGUUGUGGUCAUCCUUCUCAGAAACUGCACUUCAGAGCCAGACUCUCUCCUAUAUCUUUCUGGUACCAAAACAUAGUCCACAGGUUCCAAGGAUUUUAAGGAAAAUAGGUGUUAAUUUUAUUGAUAACAGCAGCAUCAUGAAUAUCUAGAAAGCGUGUUUUUGCUUCAAGUGGAAUUGCAUUUUGGCUGAGAGUCUGGCAAACCAAAAAUACUCAUUUCCAUCAAUCAUCUCAAAAUUUACAUAACUCAGC